CCAGGCAGCGGCAAGUGUCGACCCUGACAUGAGCAAGGGUGUGGCCAGGAGGUUGAUCAUCUUUGAUGAUCCACAGCUCCACUACAACUGCCUUCUGGAGUCACUUAUCACUGCUGUCAUUGGCCUCAACCCAACUACUGGUGAAGCUCCUGAGAACAAGUGACUGUUACUGUGGCAUGGUGGCCACACUUAGUCAUAGGUGGACAUCUGUAGUUAGCCCCUCCAAGGCUCAGAAGAGGAACACAGGAAGAAGGAAGGUGUUAUGUAACAGUUUCCUCAGAGAUUAAAACCUUCCAUCCUGCAGGAAGCUCCUUAAGCAGGAAGUAAACACCUCAAAAUAGCUCCAGGAAGUCCCUGAAACUGACCAGAUUCACUAGGCCCCUCCUGCCAGAGUAAGCAAUAAAAACGGAGUGUCCCCUCUGUGACCAGCAGAAGGGACCAGCGAAGAAGACUCCAAGACAAGGUCGGCUGCCUGGAUGUGGAAACCAGCUGAGCUGCCUGGAAGAGAUUUCGAGCAGUCACUUGGAAAGGACGCUCUCCAACCUGUUGAGUCUGCAGGCUGUGCAGUGCGCUCCAGGCUCCCAGACUGGUGAGCUGUCACCCAUGCCGAGGUGGGCUUUGGUGAUGCAGCUGCCUUUGAGUUGUUUCUUUUCCUGUAAGUUAACCCCUCACCGGUAUUCCUGCAAGUAACCCCAAUAAAACUCAGCAGUUGACCAGG